UGACAGUGCGCCUCGUGUUAGGCGGCGGUU
rnacentral:sRNA from 1 species